CAGCCCAGAGUCUGAAUCAGCUUGUGUGUUAGUGGAACGGUCUGGAAAGUCCGACGGUACAGGGUGAUAGUCCCGUACACCAAAAUGCACAGGCUGUGAACUCGAAGAGUAGGGCGGGACACGUGGUAUCCUGUCUGAAUAUGGGGGGACCAUCCUCCAAGGCUAAAUACUCCUGACUGACCGAUAGUGAACCAGUACCGUGAGGGAAAGGCGAAAAGAACCCCGGCGAGGGGAGUGAAAAAGAACCUGAAACCGUGUACGUACAAGCAGUGGGAGCACCUUCGGGUGUGACUGCGUACCUUUUGUAUAAUGGGUCAGCGACUUAUAUUCUGUAGCAAGGUUAACCGUAUAGGGGAGCCGCAGGGAAACCGAGUCUUAACUGGGCGUUAAGUUGCAGGGUAUAGACCCGAAACCCGGUGAUCUAGCCAUGGGCAGGUUGAAGGUUGGGUAACACUAACUGGAGGACCGAACCGACUAAUGUUGAAAAAUUAGCGGAUGACUUGUGGCUGGGGGUGAAAGGCCAAUCAAACCGGGAGAUAGCUGGUUCUCCCCGAAAGCU
rnacentral:rRNA from 1 species